AGUAAGUAUAACGUUUCAAGAUGGCGGAGCGAAUUGCAUGGUUAUUGUUUCUACUCGAUGGAUUCGCAGAUAAUUCGGAAAUAGAUCAGAUUGGGAUCAAUAACUUUAUUGCAUACGAUCAUUUACAUGUAUUACCAGGUGUGUGUUGCCAGUAAUGGUUACGAUAUGCCAAACAAAUUGUGCCUCUCUAUACAGACAGAUUUCAGGUCUCAAUUUCGACUUCAAAGGUCAACAUAUCACUGAUAUCAGGAAUUCUGUACAACUGUGGAACCAUGUAUGGUACGUGACCGCACAAUGUUGGUUGGCAAAAGGAUAUUGGAAUAAGCAAAGGGACUCAACAUUACACAGUCAUUUCAACAUGUAGAGUCUUGUCAGCAAUGAUGGAGCAGUACAUCAGAUUUCCAGAAUCUCGUCAUGAACUGAAGAUCAUUGCCUAUGGAUUUCAUGAAUGAUGUAGAAUGAUUGGACUGUUGAUGGAACCCACAGUGCAUGCCCUGCUUCAACAUCUGAGCAUAGGUCCUUGUUUAUCAGCAGUUUAGUUCUUCAAGCAGUCUGUGACAGUAACUUGAAAUGUUUGGACAUAUGACCUGGAUGGCCAAGUUCUGUGCAUGAUGCCCAUUUAAAUAGGAACGGCCCAGUGGCGCAUUAAAUGGACAUUUUUCGAAUGUUCUCGAGGAUUCAGCUUACCGCCUGACAAGAAAUCUUGCUUUUUGUUCCGUAUCGAGGCCAUGGACAUUUGUAUCAUUUGCAAAAGAUACUGCGAUAUUUGUGCCUUUGUUCAUGCUUUAUAGUUGAUUAACAAUUGGAAGCCGUAACCUGUUUUAUAGGAUGGUGUUAGUGGGACAAUUAAUUUUGUAAAGAUUUAAAGACUGGAAAAGAUAAUUAAAAGUCAAAAGAGUUCUGCUAUUGUUAAGCAUGCUUUAUUGAUUUGUAAUGUUAGAAAGAUAGCAUUAUUAACAGAAUAAAAUGUCCAUAAUUUGAA